AUUGCUUUUCAGACUUUUGGCUAAGAUCAAGUGUGGUAUCUGUUCUUAUCAGUUUAAUAUCUGAUACAUCUAUCUGAGGACAAUAUAUUAAGUGGAUUUUUGAAGCCAGGAGAUGGAAUAGGAGCUUGCUCUAUCUACUCCACACACCAAUCCAGUAUGGCAGCUCCUCCAGGAAUGGUGCACACACA
ensembl:snRNA U2 U2 spliceosomal RNA